rnacentral:rRNA from 1 species
AUUGAACGCUGGCGGCAGGCCUAACACAUGCAAGUCGAGCGGUAACAUUUCAAAAGCUUGCUUUUGAAGAUGACGAGCGGCGGACGGGUGAGUAAUGGCUGGGAACAUGCCUUGAUGUGGGGGAUAACCAUUGGAAACGAUGGCUAAUACCGCAUAAUGUCUACGGGCCAAAGAGGGGGCUCUUAGGACCUCUCGCGUUAGGAUGGGCCCAGUUGGGAUUAGCUAGUUGGUGAGGUAAUGGCUCACCAAGGCGACGAUCCCUAGCUGGUUUGAGAGGAUGAUCAGCCACACUGGAACUGAGACACGGUCCAGACUCCUACGGAGGCAGCAGUGGGGAAUAUUGCACAAUGGGCGCAAGCCUGAUGCAGCCAUGCCGCGUGUGUGAAGAAGGCCUUCGGGUUGUAAAGCACUUUCAGCAGUGAGGAAGGUGGUGUAGUUAAUACCUGCGCCAUUUGACGUUAGCUGCAGAAGAAGCACC